UACGUAGGGUGCAAGCGUUGUCCGGAAUUAUUGGGCGUAAAGAGCUCGUAGGCGGCUUGGUGCGUCAGCUGUGAAAACCCGCAGCUCAACUGUGGGCUUGCAGCUGAUACGGGCAGGCUUGAGUUCGGUAGGGGAGACUGGAAUUCCUGGUGUAGCGGUGAAAUGCGCAGAUAUCAGGAGGAACACCGGUGGCGAAGGCGGGUCUCUGGGCCGAUACUGACGCUGAGGAGCGAAAGCGUGGGGAGCGAACAGG
rnacentral:rRNA from 1 species